UUAAGAAUUAAAGAUCAUGUUCUGUGCCAUCUGACAUUUUGAGUAUUCAAACCUUAAGGUUGUUGCCUGGUAAAAAACAUGAUCUUUAAUUCUUAAAUCAUAACCAAAGCAAAAGUUUACCUCAGGUACAAAAUAGUAUAAACAUAAACAUUUAAAUGAAAAUUGGAAUAGAAAUAAGCUACUCAUCAGUAAGCCAAAAAUUAUACCAAAAGCUCCGAUCAAUAAAAGAAACCAAGUACUUUGCC
rnacentral:misc_RNA from 1 species